rnacentral:rRNA from 1 species
AGGUCCCCCACACUGGUACUGAGACACGGACCAGACUCCUACGGGAGGCAGCAGUGAGGAAUAUUGGUCAAUGGGCGAGAGCCUGAACCAGCCAAGUCGCGUGAGGGAGUACUGCCCUAUGGGUUGUAAACCUCUUUUGUCGGGGAGCAAAAGCCGGACGUGUCCGGCUGUGAGAGUACCCGAAGAAAAAGCAUCGGCUAACUCCGUGCCAGCAGCCGCGGUAAUACGGAGGAUGCGAGCGUUAUCCGGAUUUAUUGGGUUUAAAGGGUGCGCAGGCGGAUUUUUAAGUCAGCGGUCAAAUCGUGGGGCUCAACCCCAUCCAGCCGUUGAAACUGGGGAUCUAGAGUGUGCGAGAGGUAUGCGGAAUGCGUGGUGUAGCGGUGAAAUGCAUAGAUAUCACGCAGAACCCCGAUUGCGAAGGCAGCAUACCGGUGCACAACUGACGCUCAGGCACGAAAGCGUGGGUAUCGAACAGGAUUAGAUACCCUGGUAGUCCACGCAGUAAACGAUGAAUGCUACCUGUUUGGCCAGAUUGAUGGCUGAGCGGG